AUUGAACGCUGGCGGCAGGCUUAACACAUGCAAGUCGAGCGAGCGGCGGACGGGCGAGUAAUGUAUGGGGACUGCCCGAUAGAGGGGGAUAACUACUGGACACGGUAGCUAAUACCGCAUACUAUCGGAUAACCCAUAUGGGCGUCGCUAGUAGGUGAGGUAAUGGCUCACAUAGGCGACGUUCCCUAGCUGGUCUGAGAGGAUGAUCAGCAACACUGGGACUGAGACACGGCCCAGAAUCCUACGGAGGCAGCAGUGGGGAAUAUGGCACAAUGGGCGCAAGCCUGAUGCAGCCAUGCCGCGUGUAUGAAGAAGGCACUAGGGUUGUAAAGUACUGUCAGUCGGGAGGCGUUACCGACAGAAGAAGCACCGGCUAACUCCGUGCCAGCAGCCGCGGUAAUUC
rnacentral:rRNA from 1 species